GGAGAGAUGGCUGAGUGGUCGAAGGCGACGGUCUCGAAAAUCGUUGUAGGGUUUACUCUACCGUGGGUUCGAAUCCCACCCUCUCCGCCA
rnacentral:tRNA from 1 species